rnacentral:rRNA from 1 species
CCUACGGGUGGCAGCAGUGAGGAAUAUUGGUCAAUGGACGAGAGUCUGAACCAGCCAAGUAGCGUGAAGGAUGACUGCCCUAUGGGUUGUAAACUUCUUUUAUAAAGGAAUAAAACGCGGCACGUGUGCCUUUUUGCAUGUACUUUAUGAAUACGGCUCGGCUAACUCCGUGCCAGCAGCCGCGGUAAUACGGAGGUUCCGAGCGUUAUCCGGAUUUAUUGGGGUUAAAGGGAGCGUAGAUGGGUUGUUAAGUCAGUUGUGAAAGUUUGCGGCUCAACCGUAAAAUUGCAAUUGAAACUGGCAGUCUUGAGUACAGUUGAGGUAGGCGGAAUUCGUGGUGUAGCGGUGAAAUGCUUAGAUAUCACGAAGAACCCCGAUUGCGAAGGCAGCUUACUAAACUGUGACUGACAUUGAUGCUCGAAAGUGUGGGGAUCAAACAGGAUUAGAUACCCCAGUAGUC